AAUGCAUGAACGCAAACAUGGCUGCCACUUUUAAUGCGACGGAAACAGAAGAGAAGAAGAUGUUACCUUCUGCGGUGGACGGCCUCCUGCGGAAAACAAGGACACACUUCCUGCGAUAAGUGGGUCAUGCGUGUGGUGAUGCUGCGGUUGCCAAGGUAAACAGGAUUGUCAUUGUGUUACUCCAAGCCGCUAGGUGGCGAUGACGUGAAAGAGGAUGACUGCCACGACAUAUAAAAAGGGCGGAAACACUCGCAGACGGUCGAUUUGCCAAAGCGGACGACUGAAGAUGCUGUGGCCUAAAGAUGGCUUUUGAUUGUUUCUCCGUCGCUCUGGUGUGUCGUUGCUACACGUUGUUGGAAAAUACUGUAAUCACAUUUCAAUGUGGAGCAAUUCGACAAAGAGCCAUUAUUUCAGGUUUUUUAAAAGUGAGGUAACUUCCUGUGGUGGCCAUUUUGUAAACCAACAGAUGAAGUUCCAGCAGGUGACGUGACCUCCUGCGGUGGCCAUUUUGUGAACCAACAGAUGAAGUUCCAGCAGGUGACGUGACCUUCUGGGGCAGCCAUUUUGUAAACCAAAUGAUGAAACUCCAGCAGGUGAUGUAACCUUCUGUGGCGGCAAUUUUGUAAACCAACAUAUGAAGUUCCAGCAGGUGGCGGGACCUUCUGGGGCAGCCAUUUUGUAAACCAACAGAUGAAACUCCAGCAGGUGAUGUAACCUUCUGUGGCGGCAAUUUUGUAAACCAACAUAUGAAGUUCCAGCAGGUGGCGGAACCUUCUGGGGCAGCCAUUUUGUAAACCAACAGAUGAAACUCCAGCAGGUGAUGUAACCUUCUGUGGCGGCAAUUUUGUAAACCAACAUAUGAAGUUCCAGCAGUUUCCACCAGAGGUCAGCUGACCAAUGAUGGUUUAAACCUUCCUUGGAUGUCUGAGCGACAUGUGACGUAACCUUCUUUGGCGGCCAUUUUGUAGACCAACAGACGAAGUUCCAGGCAGUUUCCACCAGAGGUCAGCUGACCAAAGAUGGUUUAAAUCUUCCUUGGAUGUCUGAGCGACAUGUGGCCAUGUGUUCGUCUUCAGACUGUAUCCUGAUGAUUCUCCUCCUCUUACAGGUUGACCACCAGCUCGGGGACGUUGAACCAGAACCACAUUUGUUUUGUUGGCAUCACAAGACCUUGUUUCUUUGUUGAAAUGUUUAAGUUAAAUAAAAUGACCAUAACAA